rnacentral:rRNA from 1 species
UGGGGAAUUUUGGACAAUGGGCGAAAGCCUGAUCCAGCAAUGCCGCGUGUGUGAAGAAGGCCUUCGGGUUGUAAAGCACUUUUGUCCGGAAAGAAAUCCUUGGCUCUAAUACAGUCGGGGGAUGACGGUACCGGAAGAAUAAGCACCGGCUAACUACGUGCCAGCAGCCGCGGUAAUACGUAGGGUGCAAGCGUUAAUCGGAAUUACUGGCGUAAAGCGUGCGCAGGCGGUUUGCUAAGACCGAUGUGAAAUCCCCGGGCUCAACCUGGGAACUGCAUUGGUGACUGGCAGGCUAGAGUAUGGCAGAGGGGGGUAGAAUUCCACGUGUAGCAGUGAAAUGCGUAGAGAUGUGGAGGAAUACCGAUGGCGAAAGGCAGCCCCCUGGGCCAAUACUGACGCUCAUGCACGAAAGCGUGGGGAGCAAAACAGGAUUAGAUACCCUGGUAGUCCACGCCCUAAAACGAGUCAACUAGUUGUUGGGGAUUCAUUUCCUUAGUAACGUAGCUAACGCGUGAAGUUGACCGCCUGGGGGAGUACGGUCG